CUGGAGGUGAAGCAGUGCCCUCAUUCCGCGUUUCUCUGUGUGCCAGGUGUCCCUGCGGGCUGAGAGGAGCCCUUUGCUCAUUGAGGACAAGGGCAGAGGGACCCCGUGGGUGUGCUAAGUGUCAUCAAGGACCGUCUGCUCCUCCGCAGCGCGCUGAGAAGGGACAGGGAUGGUGUCCUGGGCUGAUGACACAAUUCACUUGCGAGGGGCAGUACUUCACCAGGCUCACAGAGGGAACCUGACAAAGCCCCACUGCAAUUUAUACCAACAGCAAUGUAGGUAUUUAUAUGGAAAAUCUGGGGAUAGACUCGGCCAGCUGUUGCCUUUUGCAGAGAAGUCAGAGCCAUGCUUAUGGCAGGUGGGUCAUGUCAUCAGGCCUUAGGCCCCUGGUGCCUGCCAAGGACGUCCAGGGGGGUUGUUUGAAGAUCAGGGAAGGGAGAACAUCAGUGUUGGAAGUUGAUGGGAAAUCCACCCCAGGCAGCAGUGCCUGCUGACUUUAGAAGGAGGAUCCAUAAUGCUGGGUGUUGGGAUGUAGUCUGUGAUGUAUUCCAGGAAGAAGUUGCUGUCUGAAUUGUGCAGUGAAGUUGAGGAGAUGUUGCUGGUAAUGCUGCGGGGUCUCUGCAAGGUCUUACUGGGCUGCACUGACAGCAGGUGUGAUGUGGGUCUCCUAUGAUUGCUCCUGAUUUGCAUCAGUGAGGUCAGGAAGGAAAAUCACUAAUAAGCCCCUCAUCUCAGCAAGUCCCUGGAAAGGACUGAUUUUGGAAAGCUAAGGCUUUAAGAGCUACUUGGCUGGAGGUUUGGUUGGUUGAUUGGCUGGUUGGUUGGCUGGGGUUUUUUGAGUUAUUUGGUUUGGGGUUUUUUGUGUCUUCCAUCUCCCUCGCUGGCUCCUUGCUCUGGUCUUGUCACCAACUGCCAGAAUCAAAGAUGGUCUCCAAGGGAAGGAAGUGAAGCGUUGACAAUGGUGAGGACCUGUUUGCUGCAGGAUUGUUCCCAACAGCCUGUUCCUGAUGGUGUUACUCAGCCUCCUUCUGAAUGCCUCAGAGACAAAAGGGCACCUUUUGCCAUGGCAAGGAAGCUCUCAAAUGGCAAGGUUUCUGCUCAUAACCUGAGCUCUAAGAGCUUUGGGUGGAAACUGGAUGGGAAGAGAAUGUUCCAUGUCAGAGCUGCACAAUUGCCUGUGUCCUCCUCUCCUGGGAGUGGGGAUGCCUUCCCUGUCCACGGACAUGCUGGGACAGUGUCUGUCAGUGCCCUCUCCAACCUUGGCUGGACAGGCAGUUAUGGCCCCAAGGUCUUCGGGGCUGACACAGUUUCAUAUUAUCUCCCUUUUUGA
rnacentral:lncRNA from 1 species